rnacentral:rRNA from 1 species
GCGGGAUCGCGUCUCCGAUGUGAUAAUUUCUACAUCGUU